AUCGGACUCCUCGUCGGCCGCGGGGAGCGAUGGCCGCGGGGACGGCCCGGCGGACGGCAGCGGAGUGCGGGCACACGGCGCACCGCGGCGCGGGGGGCGUCACGGAGCGGCUCCCGCUGGAAGCUGCGCUAUGAACGGCGCGUGGAAUCACAGACCGCGGCGUGGCCUGGGGAGAAAAGUGACACCAGCAGUGGAUGGAGUGCACCCUCAGCAGUGUGUGGGGGCUGCGGGCUGUGCGGUGCAAUGGACACAGCGGAGGGAUGGAGCGCCAUCGGAGGGAGCUGAGCAGCCCAGCAGUGCGCCCAGGAGAACCCCGGGGGGUUCAGCGAAGCCACACUGCAGCCACACACACUGCGCGCUGCCCCAUCGCAGCACACAGCCCCGGUCCGGAUGGGCUCUGAGCACGGAUGGGGCUGUGGGUACCUCAGUGCCCUGCGGGGUGUGGGACCACACGGCCGUGAAGGGCCCCUUCCAACCCAAACCAUUCCACCACCACCUUUACCACCCCAACCCUCCCCAAAGCGCGACCCGACCCGGCGCAGCGCCGCAGCACACACGGACUCCAAAGGCAGCCCCAAGUUUGUACAAAAACGUUUGUUUUAUUUCACAAAAUCGGGUGGCUGUGUGGCUGCAGGAAUAAAACCGGCCCUAUACAGAGGAUCAGAUGAAAAAAGUCAGCAGGUGGAUUAUUUAUACAGAAACACAACAGUGUCGAGUCGGGGUGCUCUGCGGGACCGUCGCUCGUACAGUAAAAAAUAGUCUCCAUCUGGAUCCUUGAGGCUGAAGCUGAUCACGCUAAAAACAACCUGAGGUUAUUCUAAACCGGACCGCGGGCCGAACCAGAAUCCCCGGCUCAGCCCGGUGCCCCCGCAGGGGAAGGGCCCAUGGAAGGAGGUCCCGGGCUGCACGUGGGGGGCGGUGGGCCGCUGGCGCUGGCGGAGGGACGCAUCGCUCCUACGUGCGGGAAGCAACGCGGCUGCAGACGGUCGGGAAGGGCGACCAAUGGUGCUGAGCAGAGCGCUCCCCGGGGCGGCUCCGUGGCUGUAAGCGCGGGGCUGGGGGGGCUCUGUGGGUUUGGGGCCGCGGCCGACCCGCAGCGGCAUCUCCGCCACCGCCCUUCGGCCAACGGCGCCGUGGGGAGGGCAGCGUGGAGGGGAUGCGCCCACAGCCCGACCCAACCCCCUGCCCAACCCCCCCCCACUGCUUCCUAUCUACUGUGUUUUUUUGUUCGUUUUAAACAUUAAAAAGCCUAU